rnacentral:tRNA from 1 species
GCUUAUUUAGUAUAAAUAGUACUUCCGCCUUCCAAGCGGGUAGACAGAAACAGUCUGAAUAAGUA